AGAGUUUGAUCUUGGCUCAGGACGAACGCUGGCGGCGCGCCUAACACAUGCAAGUCGAACGAGCGAGAGAGAGCUUGCUUUCUCGAGCGAGUGGCGAACGGGUGAGUAACGCGUGAGGAACCUGCCUCAAAGAGGGGGACAACAGUUGGAAACGACUGCUAAUACCGCAUAAGCCCACGACCCGGCAUCGGGUAGAGGGAAAAGGAGCAAUCCGCUGAUAGAUGGGCUUGCGUCUGAUUAGAUAGUUGGUGGGGUAACGGCCUACCAAGUCGACGAUCAGUAGCCGGACUGAGAGGUUGAACGGCCACAUUGGGACUGAGAUACGGCCCAGACUCCUACGGGAGGCAGCAGUCGGGAAUAUUGCGCAAUGGAGGAAACUCUGACGCAGUGACGCCGCGUGCAGGAAGAAGGUUUUCGGAUUGUAAACUGCUUUAGACAGGGAAGAAAAAGGACAGUACCUGUAGAAUAAGCUCCGGCUAACUACGUGCCAGCAGCCGCGGUAAUACGUAGGGAGCAAGCGUUAUCCGGAUUUAUUGGGUGUAAAGGGUGCGUAGACGGGAAUACAAGUUAGUUGUGAAAUCCCUCGGCUUAACUGAGGAACUGCAACUAAAACUAUAUUUCUUGAGUGCUGGAGAGGAAAGUGGAAUUCCUAGUGUAGCGGUGAAAUGCGUAGAUAUUAGGAGGAACACCAGUGGCGAAGGCGACUUUCUGGACAGUAACUGACGUUGAGGCACGAAAGUGUGGGGAGCAAACAGGAUUAGAUACCCUGGUAGUCCACACCGUAAACGAUGAAUACUAGGUGUGCGGGGAGUGACCCCCUGCGUGCCGCAGUUAACACAAUAAGUAUUCCACCUGGGGAGUACGAUCGCAAGGUUGAAACUCAAAGGAAUUGACGGGGGCCCGCACAAGCGGUGGAUUAUGUGGUUUAAUUUGAAGCAACGCGAAGAACCUUACCAGGGUUUGACAUCCUGCUAACGAAGUAGAGAUACAUUAGGUGCCCUUCGGGGAAAGCAGAGACAGGUGGUGCAUGGUUGUCGUCAGCUCGUGUCGUGAGAUGUUGGGUUAAGUCCCGCAACGAGCGCAACCCCUAUUGUUAGUUGCUACGCAAGAGCACUCUAGCGAGACUGCCGUUGACAAAACGGAGGAAGGUGGGGAGGACGUCAAAUCAUCAUGCCCCUUAUAUCCUGGGCUACACACGUAAUACAAUGGCGGUCAACAGAGGGAUGCAAAGCCGCGAGGCAGAGCGAACCCCUAAAAGCCGUCCCAGUUCGGAUCGUGGGCUGCAACCCGCCCACGUGAAGUCGGAAUCGCUAGUAAUCGCGGAUCAGCAUGCCGCGGUGAAUAAGUUCCCGGGCCUUGUAC
rnacentral:rRNA from 1 species